CCUGUCAUGUGGGAGCAAAUUAAAAAGAUAGUACCACAAGAGGAAGAGACGGCUAACUCUGUGCCAGCAGCCGCGGUAAUACAGAGGUCUCAAGCGUUGUUCGGAAUCACUGGGCGUAAAGCGUGCGUAGGCUGUUUCGUAAGUCGUGUGUGAAAGGCGCGGGCUCAACCCGCGGACGGCACAUGAUACUGCGAGACUAGAGUAAUGGAGGGGGAACCGGAAUUCUCGGUGUAGCAGUGAAAUGCGUAGAUAUCGAGAGGAACACUCGUGGCGAAGGCGGGUUCCUGGACAUUAACUGACGCUGAGGCACGAAGGCCAGGGGAGCGAAAGGGAUUAGAUACCCCUGUAGUCCUGGCAGUAAACGGUGCACGCUUGGUGUGCGGGGAAUCGACCCCCUGCGUGCCGGAGCUAACGCGUUAAGCGUGCCGCCUGGGGAGUACGGUCGCAAGAUUAAAACUCAAAGAAAUUGACGGGGACCCGCACAAGCGGUGGAGUAUGUGGCUUAAUUCGAUGCAACGCGAAGAACCUUACCUGGGCUUGACAUGUAAUGAACAACAUGUGAAAGCAUGCGACUCUUCGGAGGCGUUACACAGGUGCUGCAUGGCCGUCGUCAGCUCGUGUCGUGAGAUGUUUGGUUAAGUCCAGCAACGAGCGCAACCCCUGUUGCCAGUUACCAGCACGUGAAGGUGGGGACUCUGGCGAGACUGCCCAGAUCAACUGGGAGGAAGGUGGGGACGACGUCAGGUCAGUAUGGCCCUUAUGCCCAGGGCUGCACACGUACUACAAUGCCCAGUACAGAGGGGGCCGAAGCCGCGAGGCGGAGGAAAUCCUAAAAACUGGGCCCAGUUCGGACUGUAGGCUGCAACCCGCCUACACGAAGCCGGAAUCGCUAGUAAUGGCGCAUCAGCUACGGCGCCGUGAAUACGUUCCCGGGUCUUGUACACACCGCCCGUCACAUCAUGGAAGCCGGUCGCACCCGAAGUAUCUGAAGCCAACCGCAAGGAGGCAGGGUCCUAAGGUGAGACUGGUAACUGGGAUGAAGUCGUAACAAGGUAGCCGUAGGGGAACCUGCGGCUG
rnacentral:rRNA from 1 species